UCUAGAGGCUUCGGCAAUGGGGGAAACCCUGACCGAGCGACGCCGCGUGCGGGAUUGAAGGCCUUCGGGUCGUAAACCGCUGUCAGGUGGGAAGAAUGCCCAUAUGGCGAAUAUGGGAGUGACGGUACCACCAGAGGAAGCCCCGGCUAACUCCGUGCCAGCAGCCGCGGUAAUACGGAGGGGGCAAGCGUUAUUCGGAUUUACUGGGCGUAAAGGGUGCGUAGGCGGCUGUGCAAGUCCGAUGUGAAAUCUUCACCGCUCAACGGGAAGAGGUCAUUGGAAACUGCAUAGCUCGAGUAUGGGAGAGGCGAGCGGAAUUCCUGGUGUAGCGGUGGAAUGUGUAGAUAUCAGGAAGAACACCCGUGGCGAAGGCGGCUCGCUGGGCCAUCACUGACGCUGAGGCACGAAAGCGUGGGGAGCAAACG
rnacentral:rRNA from 1 species